AAAUAAUUCCAUUUCAUUAUCCAAAUCAUAAUCCAUAAUCCAUUUAGUUUGAUUUUAACACAAUCCAUUUUUACAAUAAUCCAUUAUCCAUAUCCAAUUUAGUUUAUCCGUUUAAAACCAAUUGCCAUUAUCCAAUCAUACCCAUAUCCAUUUGUACAAAACCAAAAUUCUUUUCUGCAUAAAAUUCUGCAUUGCAUUUAACAGCAACACAUCCAAAAUUCUGCAUAAAACUGCUAUAAAAAUUCUGCAUCAUCAAAAAUUCAGCAUUACAAAAAUUCUUUUCUGCAUAAAAUUCUGCAUAAAAUUCUGCAUCAUAAAAUUCAGCAUUAAAAUUCUGCAUCAAGUACAAUCAAAAUCCUGCAUUAAAAUCAAAACAAAAUUCUGCAUAAAAUCAAAAUUAAUUUCCUGCAUAAUGAAAUAACAGAAAUCUUCAUUCUUGUAUGAGUAUAAACAGUGCAAAGCCAUAACAGAAAGGAGGGAGGAUCCAUAACAGAAAAAUAACAGAAAUUGGAGGAAGCUUUUUCAUCCUCUAACCUCUCGUUUCUUCGUCUUCCAUCUUCUUCCAUUCCUCCACCAUCACAAACUCUUCCAAUCCUUCAACCACCGUAACCGUUUUUUCAAUGCACAAUCACCUUCAUCAAAAACUCCAAACUCCAUAGCCAAACCUUCAACCACUACGAAUCCGUAACCGUAACCGUAAUCUCCGUUCACCGAAACCUUCAACCGCUUCCAAUCUUCACUCUUCAAUUCUUCCACAUUAAUUUAUCAUCAUCACAACCGAACCACCAAAGAUCCUGCAACAAUUCUGCAGCAAUUAUCUCCUUUCUCGGAAGUGAUAAGCAGAAGAAAAAAGAAGAAAUAAUAGAAAAGAGAAAUCCAGAAGAGAUCGGAAUAAUCGGAAACUCACGAUCCAAGAGACUUCUUCUUCAUUUCGAUCGGCAAUACCGGUAUUACGUCUUCGUCUUCAUCUCAAAGCGGAGAUGCGAGCGAGGCCUUCAUCAUCCACCAAGAACCUUCAACAAAAUCCGUAGAAGCUCGCAACUCGUAACGGAAUUGGUGAGAAGCUACAAUCAGAAAGAAACCGAUAAUUGAAGAAGCAGUAGAAGGAACCN
rnacentral:lncRNA from 1 species